rnacentral:rRNA from 1 species
AACGAACGCUGGCGGCAUGCCUAACACAUGCAAGUCGAACGAAGGCUUCGGCCUUAGUGGCGCACGGGUGCGUAACGCGUGGGAACCUGCCCCUCGGUUCGGAAUAACAGUUAGAAAUGACUGCUAAUACCGGAUGAUGACUUCGGUCCAAAGAUUUAUCGCCGAGGGAUGGGCCCGCGUAGGAUUAGCUAGUUGGUGGGGUAAAGGCCUACCAAGGCGACGAUCCUUAGCUGGUCUGAGAGGAUGAUCAGCCACACUGGGACUGAGACACGGCCCACGACUCCUACGGGAGGCAGCAGUGGGGAAGUAUUGGACGAAUGGGCGAAAGCCUGAUCCAGCAAUGCCGCGUGAGUGAAGAAGGCCUCGGUUGUAAG